GGCUGAAUGGGGUUCUUCUAGUGGUCUGUCCAGUCACAUACACCCCCAACCUUCCCUGCUGCAGAGGUGUGUAGCAGCUGACUCCAGAUCUGAGGAGGAGGGUGUGGAGCAUGUGACCUAGGCACAAUGGGGAGGGGCCUAACUACUGCUCUGGAGAGAGAGAAAAGUAAAGCUUGUGAGGUUCCAGAUGCUUCUUCAUGCUAGUGCAAAGCCCAUCUGUGUCACUGGACAGAUGACCACUAGAAGAACCCCAGUUACAGAUGUAAACCGCCUCACUUCAGAUGGCAUGGGGACCUGAAUGAGGACCUUCAUGCAUUGACAGGCUAAUGUGGGAACAGUCAUUCCUUCAGAAAUGUCUCCAGCUGAAAACUUCAUUCUGGGAUCCUAAAAGCAAAAAACCCGCAACAAUUUUCAAAUAUAAACUCUUUAUGCCUUUGUUUCUAUGUACCCUGAAAGAAAUGCUAAUCAGAAAGAACUGCAAAUAUACUCUUAAAUAAAGUUGUCUUCACAGCUCUGUUUAUGCUCUU